CGCUUAACACAUGCAAGUCGCACGAGAAAGUGGAGCAAUCCAUGAGUACAGUGGCGCACGGGUGAGUAACACGUGGAUCAUCUACCUUUUAGUGGGGAAUACCUCCGGGAAACUGGAGACAAUACCGCAUAAGCUCGUAAGAGGAAAGCCGCAAGGCGCUGAAAGAGGAGUCCGCGGUCGAUUAGCUGGAUGGCGGGGUAAUGGCCCACCAUGGCGAAGAUCGAUAGCCGGCCUGAGAGGGCACACGGCCACACUGGCACUGAAACACGGGCCAGACUCCUACGGGAGGCAGCAGUGGGGAAUCUUGCACAAUGGAGGAAACUCUGAUGCAGCGACGCCGCGUGAGUGAUGAAGCCCUUCGGGGUGUAAAGCUC
rnacentral:rRNA from 1 species